GGAUCUGUGGUCUAGCGGUCAGAACGCUGGCCUUGUAAUCCUGGGGUCUCGGGUUCGAUUCCCGGCGGUGCCC
rfam:Zootermopsis nevadensis contig33929, whole genome shotgun sequence.